GGAAGCGUGGCAGAGUGGCCGAUUGCACCUGUCUUGAAAACAGCUUAACGGGUUAACCGUUCGCGGGUUCGAAUCCUGCCGCUUCCGCCA
rnacentral:tRNA from 1 species